GAGUUUGAUCCUGGCUCAGGAUGAACGCUGGCGGUAUGCUUAACACAUGCAAGUCGAACGAAUGUUUUCGGACAUUAGUGGCGGACGGGUGAGUAACGCGUGAGAAUCUGCCUAUAGGUUGGGGACAACAGAUGGAAACGUCUGCUAAUACCCAAUGUGCCGAGAGGUAAAAGCUUUAGUGCCUGUAGAUGAGCUCGCGUCCGAUUAGCUAGUUGGUUAGGUAAAAGCUGACCAAGGCGACGAUCGGUAGCUGGUCUGAGAGGAUGAUCAGCCACACUGGGACUGAGACACGGCCCAGACUCCUACGGGAGGCAGCAGUGGGGAAUUUUCCGCAAUGGGCGAAAGCCUGACGGAGCAAUACCGCGUGCGGGACGAAGGCUUUUGGGUCGUAAACCGCUUUUGUUAGGGAAGAAGAACUGACGGUACCUAACGAAUCAGCAUCGGCUAACUCCGUGCCAGCAGCCGCGGUAAUACGGAGGAUGCAAGCGUUAUCCGGAAUUAUUGGGCGUAAAGCGUCCGCAGGUGGUUUAUCAAGUCUGCUGUUAAAUCGUGGGGCUUAACCCCAUAUAGGCAGUGGAAACUGAUAGACUAGAGUACGGUAGGGGUAGCGGGAAUUCCCAGUGUAGCGGUGAAAUGCGUAGAUAUUGGGAAGAACACCAGCGGCGAAGGCGCGCUACUGGGCCGAAACUGACACUCAUGGACGAAAGCUAGGGGAGCGAAAGGGAUUAGAUACCCCUGUAG
rnacentral:rRNA from 1 species